GAUGAACGCUGGCGGCGUGCCUAAUACAUGCAAGUCGAGCGAAUGGAUUAAGAGCUUGCUCUUAUGAAGUUAGCGGCGGACGGGUGAGUAACACGUGGGUAACCUGCCCAUAAGACUGGGAUAACUCCGGGAAACCGGGGCUAAUACCGGAUAACAUUUUGAACCGCAUGGUUCGAAAUUGAAAGGCGGCUUCGGCUGUCACUUAUGGAUGGACCCGCGUCGCAUUAGCUAGUUGGUGAGGUAACGGCUCACCAAGGAAACGAUGCGUAGGCGACCUGAGAGGGUGAUCGGACACACUGGGACAGAGACACGGCCAAGACUCCUACGGGAGGCAGCAGUAGGGAAUCUUCCGAAAUGGACGAAAGUCUGACAGAGCAACGCCGCGUGAGUGAUGAAGGCUUUCGGGUCGUAAAACUCUGUUGUUAGGGAAGAACAAGUGCUAGUUGAAUAAGCUGACACCUUGACGGUACCUAACCAGAAAGCCACGGCUAACUACGUGCCAGCCGCCGCGGUAA
rnacentral:rRNA from 1 species